ACCAUGUGCCUUUACAUUUUCCUUGCAUAUACUUAAUUGAUUUAUGUGUAUGCUACAACAUGCAUGUGGAGGUCAGAGGACAAGUUUCUGGAGUUGGUUCUCUGGGUCAAACUCAAGUUGUCAGGCUUGUGCUGGUGGCUUUUCCCACAGACUCAUUCUGCUGGCUAAAUUUGUUUGUUUGUUUUGUUUUCCCCAAAUGUUCUUGCAGUGUUUGCCUAUUGUGAAUUGACAAGGAGCACAUGCCCUUUUAUUCGCAGUAAGAAAGAAACUUUAGGGUCAAGGACACAACUUAUGGGAAAAGGCUUUGGCCAUACAGGUCUCAACAGUCUGAAUUUGAUCCUGGAACCCACCUUAAGCUGGAUCCUGGUUUAAGCACCUUGUAAUCCUAUUAUUCUAUGGGAAGUCGAGGCAGGAGGAUUGUUCGGAAGCUCGGGGGACACAGCUAGCCUGGGGUUCUUGGCACAGGAACAUCGAUGAGAGUUGAAGACUCAGCAAGGUGGAAGGCCACCACCCACCGGAACAAAGUGGGAAAGAAAGGAUACGAGUAAAGUGGACCUGUUUAGAAAUGGUUCUUUGGAGCAACACCCAUCUGUGUUGUCUGGAAAUCAGCAGUUCAGUCACAGAUUAGCAGGCAGCGGCAGCUCAGGCCACUCGCAGACACCUCACGGAUAUGUCAGCAGUCCAGUUCGGUAGAGUCUGGAUAGCAAACAGGAGUCAGUAGCAGUGGCACGACCUAGCAGAGACAGCCAGGCCUCAGCUCAAGUCACCAGGAGGGACCUGGAGGGAUGCCAGGAGUCCUUGGCUGUGUCUCUCUCAGGGAAGCGAAGAUCAGUGAAGAUGGGAGACCCACAAGGGUUGCACAGCUAGCUGUAUAAGCAAGCCUAGCUCCCAUCACCA
rnacentral:lncRNA from 1 species